AGCUCACCAAGGUCUUCACCAUAAUGCAACCAGACAGACUGCUGUAAAUCCAUUCUCACUCGUUCUCUGACGCGGGAGGAGGGAGACUGUACCUAUUUAUAGCAACAACUGUCUGAGAAAGGCCUGAGUAACGCAAUCACUUCGGUAAGCCAGGUUGGAAACCUUUGUCUGCAGGCAGUCAAGUCUUGGAUGGUUAAAAGCAGCCAGCACGGACUCUCCAUCUGCAGGAAGGCCCCUGACGAUUAUUAUUUUGUCUUUUGGGUUCUUUCAGUUUAAAGACUAAGGAUUCCAUCGAGGUAGGGAGUUGAAUUCGACUUCUCGCUACUACUUAAGGAAAGAAGACUGGGAAUGAAAAUGUUUUCAAAUUCUUUGCUGUGUUGUUCAGUUGGCUCUGGACAUCAGCCUUUACAUGUGAAAGCCAAGAGGAAAAUCAUUCGGCUGUGUGAUUCCAGUCAGUCUGCUGCAUUGCCUCCAUCCCCAGGCCAGUUGGCAAAUUGGGGUGGUUGGUUUCUUAUGCCAGGUCCCAAGUUCCCCAUUCUCCUUCCCAGACUCACAGGGCACAAACUGGUCCCCAGUCAGAACACCAUCACACGAGUAGACCCUGCCUAUUUCUUGCUGAUGUGGAAAUGUGAACAUGGUUCAGAGUGAGUAGCAGGGCCAGUCCUGCCCUACCUCCUAACAGGCAGAAUAAGCAGCAGAUGCUCAGGCAUCUAACUAGGAGUAAGCCUUAUUUAGGCACCACUCCAGGGAAGGGUGCCGCAGCUUCUGCUUCCUGCACUCUCUGGGCACCAGGAUUUUUAUUGCAAACCACAGCUGGUGGGGGCAGCAGCAGGGGAAAGAGGGGUCAACCCAGCUCAGUACCUCUCCUCUGUAAUAUCUGAAGAUGCUAUUUUCCCUGGAACUUGAUGAAAACAAUAAAAAGGAAAGCUGAGGGUUAUUGAACCAGAACAAUGAAAUGAAUUAUUAACCAUUCACUAAAUGCACAACAAGCUAUAAAUAACACAGAGUUAUAUCCUUAGUGUACCUCAGAUUCUUCCUGUUAGAAAGGUCCUGGCCUCCCACAUAUUUGAAGGAGACCCUGCAUGCCUCUUCUUCAGCCUCUUUUCAAUAUCGCUUAAGAACUUAGCUUCCUGGAAGGCUAGUGGUUCUUUCAUAGAGGAGAAAUAUAUAGGAAUGUAUUCAAGAAAUGUGUCAUUGGUCUUGAGCGGAGAAGAGAAGGGAAGAUGGUUCAGGAGGAGGUAAUAAAAGGACCGAAUAGACUCUGCAUUCCCAGGAGGACCAGGGUUGAUAAUGUCCCAUGUAGAUGAGCAACAGAAACAGGAAAGAGAGGGAAAUUCCAUGACCAUUCCUAGGAGGGUCUGGGUUGGGGCUAAAGAUGUCCAUAUCCAGAGUUAUGAAACUGUAGAUGGCCUUUGCCUCCAUGCUGGCCCAGGGUGGUAGGAUUUCUCCUAUUGGAGGCGGGUAAUAUUGCUUGCAAGUGUGACACCAACUCUGGAUCUAAGACUUCCUGGGUUUGAAUUUUAGCUCUGCCACUGACUAGCUACGUGACUCUGGUCAGAUUUAAUUAUCUUAUCUGUUCUUAGUCACAAAGGACUUAACUAUCAGAUGGGGAUAAAAAUAGUACCCACCUCAAAGUGUUGGUGUAAAAUUGAAGUUAUCUGUAUAAAACAGAGUAGUUCCUGGAACAUAGUAAAGACUCAGUAAGCCUUAGCUAUGAGAAUAAAAGUGAUUACCCAAAA
ensembl:lncRNA